ACCAUCCCAGCCCACUUCAUAAAGCUACCAACCCAAUUUCAACAAACAAUUUCAGCAGCCCAAAAUCCCUUCACCAAAACCGCCCCAACCCUUCUCUCAUUUGAAGUUGGGCCAGCUGUGCAGCCCAAUAGCACUAGCUGACCCGAGCCAACUACCAAUCCACCCUUAUCCCCUCUUUCAACAACCCACAACAACAAUUUCAACGAUACCAGCAACAACAUCGAUCAACAGCGCCCAAAUUCCAUGCAAAACCAACCCGAUUUCACUCGCGAACCCGAUCCCAGACCCGAUUUCAACGCAUACAAAACAAACAUGUAAGAGACAAAACUCAACAACAACAAUUAGCAACGGUCGAUUCCAGCUCAUGGAAAUGACACCUCAUUCGUUAUCUCUUCCUAUCUAAACUCGUACUAAUUAGUACCAUACGUGGCUUUAGUUAGCUCGAAAUUUCAGAAUAUUGUUCGAAUUUCAAAAAAUUUUGGAAUCAAAUUCCCCCCAAAUCUAUGGAACCUGAAGAAGGUUCCAAGAAUUUCCACCUGUUGGUUUUCCAUUGGUUGAUUGUAAGGAAAAGGACGAGAACCCCUCUCAUCAUCGUCCAUUUUGCCAAGGUCAAUUGACAGCCUUGGGAUUUGGGUUUUUUUAACCCAAAAUCCCACAUCGAUAGAAGGACGAAUGGACUCCCAAUUGUGUCUUCUAUAUAAGCUCACGGGUGAGCUAAAAAAAGGGUUCGAAAUUUGAGGGGGAUUGAGAAAAAGAAACGGAAGGAAGAAAGAAAAAAGAAAGGGUUUGAAAAAGGAGAAAAAGAAAAAUCGGGGAGCAUAAAUCCGUUUUCUUUCGUAAAAUUCCUUUCGUGGUUUCGUCAGCUAAUCAGAGUUUCGAGGUGACGAUUACGAUAUUUUUUUGGUGGUUAUGAUUCCGACAGAAGCUCGAGUCCCGUUCUGGUGCUCCGAAACAGUUCGGUUUGGCUUUUAACCAAACCAUGAACACUCCUAGCAUACGAAUAUAAGAAGAUGGAAGAAGAGGAUGGACCGAAGCCCAUUGAUGAAAGAUCAUUAAAUUUUGCAUUGUUGUUCGUUUUUUGCUUGUUCUUUUAUUUAUUUAUUUAUUUAUUCAUUUGGGCCUUGAAGCCAAAGUUGUAAAUUUAAUACAGGUGGAGCAAAUUUUGGACCAACGGGCCUAAAAAAUAGUUUAGGACAGGUUAUGGGUCAAGGCCCAACAUUUAGAUUAGGACAGGUGAAAAAUGGGUCGAAGGCCCAAUUAGAUUAGGACAGGUUUCGUUGAUUUGGACUCAAUGGCCUAAGUCUCUCACUUCCUUCUCCCUUUUUCCUUUUAUGUAUUUACUUGCUUAUUAGUUUGU